rnacentral:lncRNA from 1 species
UUCAAUUGUAGUUGGAAUUUUCAGAGGCGCUCAAAUAUCUUCUGCAAGUGGUCCAUAUGGUCUCUUCACUUUGAGAUUUAGUGGAACACCCUCAAACCUGAUUCUAAACAAACGGAACACCAAUAAAACGCUAUGAGUAAAAGUUAAAUCAACGAUGAAAUAAACCAAACAUAAGCAACAAUUUCACUAUUUCACAAAGUGUGCUAAGGGAAUGCACACAGGGAAGAAAAGAUUACCACUCCAAACGUUCUUGGAGGGAUGUCUCCGCACAGGUACUUUGGCCAAACUCUUUCUCUUUUAUUUUGUCUAUUCUUCUCCUUCCUCUAUGUUCUUUAUGUGUUUGUGUUUCCCUCCAUUACCACGUUGUCGUUGUUGCGUGAUAUUAGACUGAGCUCAGUGAAAUAGAGCUUCUUCAAAGAGGCUUUGAUCACUAUAAUGUACGGGCUUUGAAUAAAGAGGAGUUAGGGAUUUGGGAAUUUCUUUGAGAAGCUUACAAUAGGGUUUUUUUUGUGUCGUAUAUAUUAGUAGUAUGCUACGUUUUUUUCUACUUUGUGGCUAGGUUUUUUCAUUGUCCCUGUUAUGAAUACUGCUUCAGAUUUUAUAGUAGGGAAUUAGGGUUUGAAUUCUAGGAUAAGAUCAAAGGAUAAGCUGCGUUUUGAUGGAAAUGGAAGUGAUGCAGAUAAAUAAAAAAUGUAUAUGUUGUGUUUUUGCAGUUUUGGUGUAAUCGUUGUUGUACCAUAUGUUGCUGCCCUAUUUCUCUCUCAUUGCUCUGUUUUUUUUUAAUUGAAAACUCUUACUGCAGUAAAUCGAACACCACCACCCUCUUUUACUGCUGUAAAGUUUUUUAGUGAAAAUAAAAUGCUGCAGAUUUAUUUUGCUUUGGUGUUCAUUGAUUAGAGACUAGGAUUGAUUAUGAAUUGCAUUGGCCAAGAAAAAUUUCUUGUGACUACAAAUCCAAUCUAACUGGUAAUUUCUGGUCCAAAGAAUAAUACAGUGCAAUUGUUGAAUGAAUGUUAUAGGAGUUGUGAAUUUGUUGAAUGAUAUUUGGUUCAAUUUGAUAAUAUUUCCUUUUUGUGUAAUAGGCUCUUUUGAUGGAUAAAGUAUGACUUGGAAGUUGCGUGGACAUGAAGAAAGGAUCAUGUCUUGGAGAAAUUGACAUGGUGAAUCAAAAUGGAAUUCUUGAAGGUUUAGUGAAAAGUCUUUACCUUGUUUUAGGUUUUGUUCUAGGGAUUAUGUAAAGAUCACAAUGCUAAAUGUAAAAGACUUAUGUAAUGCAAAAUAGAUCUUUGUAAGCUCUCUUAUUUUUUUAGAAUUUUAAAUAUAAUGAAAAAGAUGUUUGAGCAUUAAAAUGAAUGAUAAGUUUGAAAUUUUGGAUGUUCAUGUUUUGAUUCAAUUUUAAACUCUUUGGAUCCUAAUUGUAACAUGCCUAAAAAAAUGAAAUGAAAAUGAUGUGGACCAAA